CAUAUAUUUCAAUCAUAAAUUUCUAUUCAAUUUGGAAAAUAAUACCCAAAAUCAAAUUUGAUUCUUCGAGUAAAAAAUUUGAAUGCAUUCAGUUUUUCAACUAUUUGGAAACUAUUUAAUAUAAUAGUUGUACUUACAAGCAAUUCACCCAUCGCAGUUCGAAAGGACGAGAGUGCUGUUGUUGUUAAACAUGAGAGCAGAAUGCUAUUGUUUCAGCACGCUAAGGAGCAUUGCAAAAGCUAACACUCAGUUCAGUGGAUCGAAAAGUGAUGAGGGCGAGACAUCAAAUAAACAUUUUUGGCUCCCAUUCAAAACUCUUUUGGCUGCUACUGCUGCCAAAGGAUUGGGUGCGCAAACCAACACUUCCACACAGGCUGAAAAAUCGCCCAAAGAAUAAUACAUAUGUUGUGUUAAUAUGUGCAUACCAAUUUUAACACUUUUACACGGAAUUAUUAUUUUUGAAAGAAGUUUGAAAAAAACAAUGACCCCCCACCAAAGCUUUGUAAUCACAUUUCGAUGCCCUUUUAAAGCCUGACUAGAGACCAUUUGCGGCCUUUUUCUAGACCAGGAUUUGUUUCACAAGUAUAUGUAGUAAUAAAAUAAAAAAAAUGUGUUCCACAUUAAGAAAAUGUGA